rnacentral:rRNA from 1 species
UACGAAGGGUGCUAGCGUUGUUCGGAAUCACUGGGCGUAAAGCGCACGUAGGUUGUCUUUCAAGUCAGAGGUGAAAUGCCGGAGCUUAACUCCGGAACUGCCUUUGAAACUGUAAGACUAGAGAUCAGAAGGGGAUAGCGGAAUUGCUAAUGUAGAGGUGAAAUUCGUAGAUAUUAGCAGGAACACCGGUGGCGAAGGCGGCUAUCUGGUCUGAUACUGACACUGAUGUGCGAAAGCGUGGGUAGCAAACAGG